CGGGCUGGGACAGAGUUACUGGGGCUCAUCUCCAGCCUCGUGCGCUUAGCAAGAGCUGUGGGAUGUGGAGUCUACCUUCUCCCCCCUCUUCCACACACCGCAGCCUCCGUCUGCCUUAGUCCCAGGCCAGUGCAGGAGACGAGCAGGGCUUUCCCCGUGCCCGCAGCCCCAGCGCUGCCCUGUGCGCUCUUCUGCGCCCGCAGGUGCUGGGACCCCGAGCAGCGCUGAGCAGAAACCUCCUGGAGAAGAGCCUGUGAAGCUGGAGCUGCAGAGGACUUGCCCAGGGGGACUGGAGGAGAGGGGCUCCCUGACUCCUGAGCCAGGCCCAGUGCAGUAGGCGCAGGACAGACGUCCAAAGCAGGGGCCGAGCCUGGAGCUCCCGGCGGUGUGUGAGGACGUGGCAGUGUGUUUCACGCGGGAGGAGUGGGAGCUGCUGGACGAUGAAGGCAAGGAGCUUUACCGGGACCAGAUGCUGAGGCAUUCCCGAGCCCUCGUUUCCCUGGGAUAGCGAGGUCCCACCCCUGACUUCACCUGCCAGCUCCAGCAAGGCCAGGGGCAGCUCUGGGGCUGUGACGAUGAGGACCGUGGGGAAAUCUC